AGGGGAAGGAGCUGCAGCCAGGGAGACCAGAGGAAGCAGAGAGAAAGGUAGGCUUUAGUCACCCCUGUCACCAGUCACCCCCCUCCACUGUCACUAGUCACCCCCCUCACCCCACUGUCACUAGUCACCCCCCUUCCUGUCCCCCCUGUCACUAGUCCCCCCCUCACUGUCACUAGUCACCCCCCACUGUCACUAGUCACCCCCACUGUCACUAGUCACCCCCCCUCACUGUCACUAGUCACCUCCCCACUGUCACUAGUCCCCCACUGUCACUAGUCACCUCCCCACUGUCACUAGUCACCCCCCCACUGUCACUAGUCACCCCCCCACUGUCACUAGUCACCCCCCUCACUGUCACUAGUCACCCCCCCACUGUCACUAGUCACCCCCCCACUGUCACUAAUCACCCCCCACUGUCACUAGUCACCUCCCCACUGUCACUAGUCACCUCCCCUCACUGUCACUAGUCACCCCCCACUGUCACUAGUCACCCCCCCACUGUCACUAGUCACCCCCCUCACUGUCACUAGUCACCUCCCCACUGUCACUAGUCACCCCCCCCACUGUCACUAGUCACCCCCCCACUGUCACUAGUCACCCCCUCACUGUCACUAGUCACCCCCCCACUCACUAGUCACCCCUCACUGUCACUAGUCACCCCUCACUGUCACUAGUCACCCCUCACUGUCACUAGUCACCCCUCACUCUGUCACUAGUCACCCCUCACUGUCACUAGUCACCCCUCACUGUCACUAGUCACCCCUCCCUCACUCUGUCACUAGUCACCCCUCACUCUGUCACUUGUCACCCCUCACUUGUCACUUUUCACCCCUCACUGUCACUAGUCACCCCUCACUCUGUCACUGUCACCCCUCACUGUCACUAGUCACCCCUCACUCUGUCACUAGUCACCCCUCACUGUCACUAGUCACCCCUCACUUGUCACUAGUCACCCCCCACUGUCACUAGUCACCCCCAGUCAUCCCUCCCCUCACUGUCACUAGUCACCUCCCUCACUGUCACUAGUCACCUCCCUCACUGUCACUAGUCCCCCUCCCUCACUGUCACUAAUCACCCACUGUCACUAGUCACCCCCCACUGUCACUAGUCACCCCCCACUGUCACUAAUCACCCCCUCACUGUCACUAGUCACCCCCCCACUGUCACUAGUCACCUCCCCUCACUGUCACUAGUCACCUCCCCUCACUGUCACUAAUCACCCCCCCACUGUCACUAAUCACCCCCCUCACUGUCACUAAUCACCCCCCUCACUGUCACUAGUCACCCCCCUCACUGUCACUAAUCACCUCCCCUCACUGUCACUAGUCACCUCCCCACUGUCACUAGUCACCCCCAUCACUGUCACUAGUCACCCCCAUCACUGUCACUAAUCACCCCCCUCACUGUCACCAGUCAUUCCUUCACUAUGUCACCAGUCAUCCCUUCCUUCCCUCACUCUGCCACUCGUCAUCCCCUCACUCUAUCACCAGUCACCCCUUCCUUCCUUCACAGUGACAGAGUUAGGGGGGGAGUGACUAGUGACAGAGAGAGGGAUGGGGUGACUAGUGACAGAGUGAGGAAGGGGGUGACUAGGGACAGAGGGGGUGAUCAGUGACAGAGUGAGUGAGGGGGUGACUAGUGACAGAGUGAGUGAGGGGGUGACUAGUGACAGAGUGAGGGAGGGGGUGACUAGUGACAGAGUGAGGGGGGGUGACUAGUGACAGAGAGAGGGAUGGGGUGACUAGUGACAGUCACCCCCUCCCUCCCUCUGUCACUAGUCACUCCCUCCCUCUGUCACCAGUCAUUCCCCACACUCUGUCACUAGUCCUCUCUUCCCUCCCUCCCCCACUCUGCCACUAGUCACCCAUUCCCUAACUCUGUCACUGGUCACCCACUCACUCACUCUGUCACCAGUCACCCCCUCACUCUGUCACCAGUCACCCCCACUCACUGUGUCUCCCCCUCACUCUGCCACCACUCAACCCCUCCUUCCCUCACUCUGCCACCAGGUACCCCCUCACUCUUCCACCUGUCACCUUCUCCCUCAUACACUCUGUCACCUGUCACAUAUGCAUUCACACAGACACUAUAUACAAAAAAGCACAUGUAGUCAUCCAGACAUGCACAAGUGCAUUCACACAGACUCAAAUACAAACAUGCAUUGAUACACAGGUCUUCACAAUAUACACAUCCAAAGGAAUGCCGUAUUAUGAGUUAUAUUUAACAUUUAUUUAAUGCACGUAUAUUUGGCCUUCAAAGGGCCUGGGAUCUAAUUUUGCCCGGGGGCCCCAAAGGCUCUCAGUCCGCCCCUGGCAGUGUGUGUAUGGGGGGCAGUGUGUGUAUGGGGGCAGUGUGUGUAAUGGGGGGCAGUGUGUGUGUAUAAUGGGGGGCAGUGUGUGUGUAUGGGGGCAGUGUGUGUGUAAUGGAGCAGUGUGUGUAUGAGGGCAGUGUGUGUGUAAUGGGGGGCAGUGUGUGUAUAAUGGGGGGCAGUGUGUGUAUGGGGGGGCAGUGUGUGUAAUGGGGGGCAGUGUGUGUAAUGGGGGGCAAUGUGUGUAUGGGGGGGCAGUGUGUGUGUAUGGUGGGGCAGUGUGUGUGUAUGGGGGGGGAAGGAGGCUUUUUAAUAAUUUUUUUUUUAAAUAAAAUAAAUAUUCUAUGUCCCCCCUCCCUUCUUACCUUUAUUUAGGAGGAGGGGGGGCAUUUCCCUGGUGGUCCGCUGGGUAUUCCCUGGUGGUCCCAGUGGUGAUUCCCUGGUGGUCAGGUGGUCAGAGUGAACUCUAGCCCGCGCUCCCGGGCUAGAGUUCACUCUUGCGAGAUUUGGAGCAUUGCCGUGGUAACCGCGGCAACGCUCCAAAUCUCGAGAGAGGAGGACCCGGAGGAGCUGCAGGCUGAGCUCCCGGGUCCUCUCUCUCACUCCCUCCCUCCGCCGCCGGCUGUCAGCACGGUGCCUGGGGACCGGGGAGGGAGAUCUCUGAUCUUCCUCCCCAGUCCGCAGGCACAUUGCAGGGCUGGCACUUGGGCAAUGCCAGCCCUGUGUUAGCCGGCAGGGGGGAAUCUCGAGGGGGGGCAAUUGCCCCGUUGCCCCCCCCCCCCUGGAUCUGCCAAUGCCUGGGAGGGCGUCUCUGGAACUAAAAUCCUUUUUGUAAUAGAACAGCAUACAAUUAUAAUUAACACCAUUACAAGCAUGACCACUAAAAAAAGCAAGGGGGUCUUUAAUACAAGCACAAUUUAACAACAAGAAAUAACAGGUAGCAGAUAUUACAUGACAAAGUAUUUACCACAUUUCUAAAAAAAAACAACCUAACAUGUAACACACAAUAUACUAAUUUAUGAUGCCAUGUUUGCUAACCAGGACUCUAGAGAAUAUUUCAAAGGAUCUAACAGUCAACAGGUAUAGCUUGGAGGAAAGACGAGACAGGGGGGAUAUGAUUGAAACAUUUAAAUAUAUAAAGGGAAUCAACACAGUAAAGGAGGAGACUAUAUUUAAAAGAAGAAAAACUACCACAACAAGAGGACAUAGUCUUAAAUUAGAGGGACAAAGGUUUAAAAAUAAUAUCAGGAAGUAUUACUUUACUGAGAGGGUAGUGGAUGCAUGGAAUAGCCUUCCAGCUGAAGUGGUAGAGGUUAACACAGUAAAGGAGUUUAAGCAUGCGUGGGAUAGGCAUAAGGCUAUCCUAACUAUAAGAUAAGGCCAGGGACUAAUGAAAGUAUUUAGAAAAUUGGGCAGACUAGAUGGGCCGAAUGGUUCUUAUCUGCCGUCACAUUCUAUGUUUCUAUGUAUCAAAUCCCAGGCAUUCUCUAUGUAAAAGGUUGUUGAAAUGAAGCAUCUGUAGUGAAAUUAUCACUGCUCAUCAAAACAGACUUCUGAUGUGUCAGAUCUGUCUCUAUUAUAAGAAUGGGGAUAUGGGUGCCAUGCUUUUAACACUCAAUGACAUAGAAAGUAGAUUAAAGCUUUGUUUCAUGCACUACCUGCAUUAAUCGGGGCCUGGUUGCACUUUGUAUGUAUUGCUGCUGGGUUUUUUACAUGAAAAUAGCAUUGACACAGGAGCCGGGCCCCUAGCUUCUAUGGCCAGUCCUGGUUUUCCCAUUAGACAGAGUAGGUAUAUACCUACAGAAACAUGCUUGAUGGGCUUGUCUACUCUAUAGAGUUCUGGUUUACCAAGUUCUGACCGGAUUUGGCUUUUGUAAAUAUGAGAAUUGCCAUUCCGGUCAGAAUUUGGCCAUUUUCACUGGAUUUUCAAAAUCCAGUAUUUAGUGAAUAGUUCUGUCAGUUACCUUAUACUUAAAUAGUGUAUGAAGAUAAGAAUAGAGCAAAUGACUAAAAAAAUUAUUGGCAUUGAUCCCGGUGGCAGACACAGUCUAUUUCAGUACAUUGUAAAAGUUGUCAUAGUUAAUAGACUAAGGUACUCAAUAUAAUCUAUACCGGGGAAGCUAUUUAAAGGGCCACUGGAAGCACCAAAACAACUUAAGCUUAAUGAAGCAGUGUUGGUGUAUAGAUCAUGCCCCUGCAGUCUUACUGCUCAAUCUUCUGCCAUUUAGGAGUUAAAUCCCUUUGUUUAUGAACCCUAGUCACACCUACCUGCAUGUGACUUACACAGCCUUCCUAAACACUUCCUGUAAAGAGAAAUCUACAGUUUCUCUUUACUUUAUUGCACUGUUUGUUUAAAUUAGAAUUUCUUAUCUUCUGUUCUGUCAAUACCAUUCUUGACCCUGCAUAAAGAACACAUGUGUGAUUAAAGUUCAAUUUACAGAGCAGGAGAUAAAAACUUCUAAAAUAAAUAAGAUCUGAAACCAUUCAUUUCCUGCAGGCUGUGUCAGUCACAGACAGGGGAGGUGUGGCUAGGGCUGCAUGGACAGAAAGAAAAGUGAUUUAACUCCUUAAUGGAAUAGAAUUGAGCAAUGAGACUGUAGGAGCAUGAUCUGUAUACCAGACCUACUUCAUUAAGCUAAAUUUGUUUUGAUGCUUAUAGUGUCCCUUUAAAUGUUGGCUGGCUUGGGGUGAGGGGUUUUGGGAAGGUGUGCAAGGUAAGGAGCCAGGAUUUUUCUGGUAAAAAAACAUUGUCUAGAUGGAUUAAGGAUAAGUAAUUGAGCUACACAACUCUCAACUAACAGAUAUUCUGACGAGACAGACCCUUUGUACUACUGCCUUUUAUAAUGCAAAUAUGCUGGAAAAUGCUUAAUCUGUGUGAGUUAUUUGUGAUGUACAGCAUUCGAACAUUUUCUUGCCUGUAAAAUAAAUAAAAAAUUAAGAUUAAAAGGUCAUAAAUGCAUUACUGGAGAGUUGAAAUAAAAAUGCUGGUAUACAAUAUAUACACAUUGGCAUAUGUGUAUACAAAUGUGUACGUGCUGCAGGAAGUGUUAAUAGGUGUAUAGUGUGAAAUUACCCAGAUAUGGAGGGUGUAGAAGAAGAUAGGAAGGGAAAAUGAUAUGGAUAACAGAUCUUUAAUUCUCUUCCUAUCUUAACCCCUUAAGGACACAUGACAUGUGUGACAUGUCAUGAUUACCUUUUAUUCCAGAAGUUUGGUCCUUAAGGGGUUAAAUCAGUGCAGAGAGCCUUUAUCACUAUUGGGCCCCAGGGCCCAUCUGUUCUUGAGCUAUCCCUGGACUAGAUUUCAACACUCAUGCAUAGGUAAACAAACCCAAGUCUCACACCUAUUAGUAAAUUCUCACCUUCACACAAUUUGAAAGCUAGGAGAGCCAUGUGGUAUGCAAAACAGUUGGAAAACAUUACUCUAGUGGCUCCCCAUUGAUUAAACAGUUGUAUGAUAGAAGGAUCAGGCCUCUUAUUUAUAUAUAAUUUUAUUUAAAACAGAUUUUAACCUCCCUUUGUCAAGGACCCGUAUUACGUUCAUGGCAUUGAUUCCCUUGGACACUUUUUUUUUUUCUCAAUUGAAAAAUUAUGUCAAUAGCUUAUCUUUCUAAUAUAUUAUGCUCUUACCAGUAUAGGGAUCUCUGCUUCAUUGAGGAAAUCAGUCCCACUACAGAAAACAACAUAUUAUGCAUGAUAUAUCUGUUCCAGCCAAUAGGGUCUCACUGAAAUUGCAAAGGUACCCAAUUUUAGGUCUAGAACAAGGGGUAGACGAACUGAUUAAAGAAGAAUAUGUUAUUAAAAUUGAUUUUUCGUUGGAGUCUGACUGGCAAGCAGAGCAGUUGCAUGCUAAGUGAGCUCCUGAGAAUAGCCUGCCUAAUAAGUGUUUUAUACCUGCCUUAUUGCAGCUUCUCACAGCAAAACAAGUGUUCCGUAUUGUGAGGACCUGGUGACCACAUUCGGUGCUAUCCUGAACUGGAAUCCCAUCACGAUUUGCGUCCUUCAAACUUGUUGUGCCAACCUGACACGACUGAAAGGCAAACUUGUUGUGCGAACCUGACAGUGGAGAUAACCUGAAAACUCCUGCAGGUCCGAAAACACCCAAUGCCACCAUUCCAAGAUGGCCACCAUCACGUCCUCGGCCCUCCUUGAGGAGCGCAUUGAAGAGGCCUUUGCACGAAUGUGCAGUUGUGGCAUUGUGCCCUCUCUUGUUACCGAUAGCAUGUUCCAUUGAAAUAUUCUCAGAUCAGAUCUAUCUAUAGUAGGACAAGCUUACGCCAUGCAUUGUUUCUUAUAAUUUCCUAAAAUAAUUGUGCCACUUUCUCAAUGCCAUGCUUAAGGAUGUCUAUCUUUAAAUUUAAUAUGCUUGUGUUCGCUUUUGUGGCAUCACAACACUCUCUGUAAUAAUAUGCAC